CCUUUACAAUGCACGAAAGUGUGAUAAGGCAACUCCUUGUGCUUAUCCAAAAGAUAGGCUUUUAGUAUGUAAUGUAUACUAAGAAUAAGUAGAUGGGCGAAGAACCGGGUCGGCCACGCAGCCGCCGGGUAAGUAACCGGCGGUCACAAGUGGAGAUCACGAUUACUGGGUCGUAAAGUAGUUCGUAGCUGGUCAUAUAAGUCUCUUGUGAAAGUUACUGUAGCUUAAC
rnacentral:rRNA from 1 species